rnacentral:rRNA from 1 species
CAGCAGCCGCGGGAAUACAGAGGGUGCAAGCGUUAAUCGGAAUUACUGGGCGUAAAGCGCGCGUAGGUGGUUUGUUAAGUUGAAUGUGAAAUCCCCGGGCUCAACCUGGGAACUGCAUCCAAAACUGGCAAGCUAGAGUAGGGCAGAGGGUGGUGGAAUUUCCUGUGUAGCGGUGAAAUGCGUAGAUAUAGGAAGGAACACCAGUGGCGAAGGCGACCACCUGGGCUCGUACUGACACUGAGGUGCGAAAGCGUAGGGAGCAAACAGGAUUAGAUACCCCUGUAGUCCCUGUCUCUUAUAC